AACCAGCUCUUCAAGUGGUCGGGAUGAUUAUUGGGCUUAAAGUGUCCGUAGCCGGUUUAGUAAGUUCCUGGUAAAAUCAGGUAGCUUAACUAUCUGUAUGCUAGGAAUACUACUAUACUAGAGGGCGGGAGAGGUCUGAGGUACUAUAGGGGUAGGGGUGAAAUCUUAUAAUCCUUGUAGGACCACCAGUGGCGAAGGCGUCAGACUGGAACGUGCCUGACGGUGAGGGACGAAAGCCAGGGGAGCGAACCGGAUUAGAUACCCGGGUAGUCCUGGCCGUAAACGAUGCAUACUAGGUGAUGGCCCGGCCAUGAGCCGUGUCAGUGCCGUAGGGAAACCGUUAAGUGUGCCGCCUGGGAAGUACGGUCGCAAGGCUAAAACUUAAAGGAAUUGGCGGGGGAGCACCACAAGGGGUGAAGCCUGCGGUUC
rnacentral:rRNA from 1 species